UUCUAGCUCACCUUUCUAGUGUUGUUCUUGUACUCAUCUGUUUAAUCUAGUUUUGCCACUUCUUCUUGAACUUCUUGUUAGAUUUCAAGUCUGUAUUUUGUGUCCGUGACAAGUACUUGUAGAUUAGGAUUUGAAGCACAUACUAGGAUUUUUUAAAUACGAGACGAUUGGUAGAAAAUUUAUAGUUGAAUUUUUUUAUGAUAAUGUUUAAGAAUAAAUUCUAUAUUAUUUGUAAAUUUGAAAAAAAUUAAACGGUUGGAUCAAGAGAUAUGAAUUUCUAAAGUUUGAGAAGAAAAAAACCUUUGCAAAAAAAAUAUGUUUUGAAGAGGUUUUAUUAUAAUUUUGGCA
rnacentral:lncRNA from 1 species